GACGUAGGGCGCAAGCGUUGUCCGGAUUUAUUGGGCGUAAAGAGCGUGUAGGCGGCCAGAAAAGUCCGCUGUGAAAACUCGAGGCUCAACUUCGAGCUGUCGGUGGAAACUUUCUGGCUAGAGUCCGGAAGAGGAGAAUGGAAUUCCUGGUGUAGCGAUGAAAUGCGCAGAUAUCAGGAAGAACACCCGUGGCGAAGGCGGUUCUCUGGGACGGUACUGACGCUGAGACGCGAAAGCGUGAGGAGCGAACAGG
rnacentral:rRNA from 1 species